AGCUAGCGACUGGGUGACUUUAUUCACCCGCUUCGGCUGUUAUCAGUCCAUACAAUGGGCGUUAUUAGCAGAAAUCAGUCCCAUAGAUGUGGGCCAUCCACCUGCUAGAUUGUUCAGAAGGUUGUUAUCAUCCAUCCAGAUGGAGGAUCACUGACAGGAGCGUGGGAAGACUCCAGAAUCCACUCUGGCUGGAAUCCGGUGGAUACAGCAGUGUUACAGAACAGUUCUCCACAGUCGCUGUCCACAUGGGUCAGUGGGACCAAGCAGCACUCUGCUAAUGUGUGGACUCUGACCAGCAACAUCCAGCAAGACCCAGGCAGCGUUUUCUAUCUCCCAGCUGGAGUUUUUUGUUUGUCUGUGACUGGAGAGUCAGAUUUUUGUUGAAGCUGGAGGAACAGCCUCACACUCGCAGAGGUUAAUACACGCUACUGAUCCCUGAUGGGAGAAUCAUCACCUCUGCCAACAAAGAAGCCUGGUGGAUAUUUGUUUACAGUCUGAUGAUGGGACAUCAUGCUCUGCAUCUUCACAGUUUGUCUCUUGAUUAUUAUUCAUACACAGUAAUGUGAAGUAUGCUUAUAUCUAGUAUAACUGGACCAACGUGGUGCUCUUCAUUUAUGGAGGCUGUUGAGUCUGAAUGUUGGAUGUUGUGUAUCUCUUGUUCUCUGGGCUUUGUUGUCCUCAGUCUUUUUGCAGGAUCAGAAAACAAAACCAGGAUGACCGUAAAUGUUUCUUCUCCAAUUGGAUGAUGAUAAGACCGUGACACGGGAUGCCACCUUUAGUCUUGUGAUGAAGCAAAGCUCAGGACGAAGUGUGAUUAAAUGGUACCCACAUGUGUGCUGCUGAGAAGGAUGUACAAGGGCACCUGCAGCCAAAUCCAAGCCUCCUCAGCAACUUCAAGUCUGUCAGCGUGCUGAGGUCACAGAAACAAGAAAAGAAGCUUCAGACUUCAGA